rnacentral:rRNA from 1 species
AUUGAACGCUGGCGGCAGGCCUAACACAUGCAAGUCGAACGGUAACAGGAAACAGCUUGCUGUUUCGCUGACGAGUGGCGGACGGGUGAGUAAUGUCUGGGAAACUGCCUGAUGGCGGGGGAUAACUACUGGAAACGGUAGCUAAUACCGCAUAACGUCGCAAGACCAAAGAGGGGGACCUUCGGGCCUCAUGCCAUCGGAUGUGCCCAGAGGGGAUUAGCUAGUAGGUGGGGUAACGGCUCACCUAGGCGACGAUCCCUAGCUGGUCUGAGGGGACGACCAGCCACACUAGAACUGAGACACGGUCCAGACUCCUACGGGAGGCAGCAGUGGGGAAUAUUGCACAAUGGGCGCAAGCCUGAUGCAGCCAUGUCGCGUGUAUGAAGAAGGCCUUCGGGUUGUAAAGUACUUUCAGCGGGGAGGAAGGGAGUAAAGUUAAUACCUUUGCUCAUUGACGUUACCCGCAGAAGAAGCACCGGCUAACUCCGUGCCAGCCGCCGCCGUAA